CAGCAAUACAUUGUAAGGAGUAAGGUGUCUGUGCAGAGUUGUUUGUCAUGUACUUAAUAUAACAUUGAACAAGGGGAUAGUAACAUGUAGUAGAUAAAGAAGUUAAUUGAUCUCAAUGUACAUACCAUUAUAAUGCAGAAAACUGAACUAUGUAUUAUAGAUUCAUGAUUGUGUGAAAAGUCUUUAAUUAACUGACACCUCUACAUAUUCAAAUUCUUUCUGAAAUUCGAGACAAAUAUGAAAUAAAAAGCUUUCUUUGAUUUAUCCAUGGAAUCGAAAUGAUUGAAAUUUUUUUUAAAAAGUGUAACAAGUAUUAUAAACAUUUGUAAUGGACACUAAGAGCACAUUAUUUUUGACCCAGCCUUUCCUGAAUACUCAGAUGUGUUGAUGUUAUUUUUGUCCAGUCAUACACCUUGUUCAACAAAUUCCUUUUUCUCUUGCCCUGUUAAGUUGAAGCUUAACUUGUAUAAAUUUGUCUUCUGUCUGGCUUGAAAUUUGUGACUUUAGAUGUUCUUACAAAAAUAAACUGAAUGUUCAAUAUC
rnacentral:misc_RNA from 1 species